rnacentral:rRNA from 1 species
UUGGAGGGCAAGUCUGGUGCCAGCAGCCGCGGUAAUUCCAGCUCCAAUAGCGUAUAUUAAAGUUGUUGCAGUUAAAAAGCCCGUAGUUGAAUUUCGGGGUCAGUAGGUUGGUCAUGCCACCGGUAUGUACUGGUCUCACUGAUUCCUCCUUCCUGAUGAGCCGUAAUGCCAUUAAUUUGGUGUUGCGGGGAAUUUGGACUGUUACUUUGAAAAAAUUAGAGUGUUUAAAGCAAGCUAACGCUUGAAUACAUUAGCAUGGAAUAAUGAAAUAGGACGUUCGAUCCUAUUUUGUUGGUUUCUAGGAUUGACGUAAUGAUUAAUAGGGAUAGUUGGGGGCAUUAGUAUUCAAUUGUCAGAGGUGAAAUUCUUGGAUUUAUUGAAGACUAACUACUGCGAAAGCAUUUGCCAAGGAUGUUCUCAUUAAUCAAGAACGAAAGUUAGGGGAUCGAAGACGAUCAGGUACCGUCGUAGUCUUAACCAUAAACUAUGCCGACUAGGGAUCGGAUGAUGUUAAUUUUUUAAUGACUCAUUCGGCGCCUUACGGGAAACCAAAGUGUUUGGGUUC